rnacentral:rRNA from 1 species
UGGGGGAUAUUGCACAAUGGGCGAAAGCCUGAUGCAGCGACGCCGCGUGGGGGAUGAAGGCUUUCGGGUUGUAAACCUCUUUCGCUAUCGAACAAGGCCCGCUUAGGGUGGGUUGAGGGUAGGUGGAGAAGAAGCGCCGGCUAACUACGUGCCAGCAGCCGCGGUAAUACGUAGGGCGCGAGCGUUGUCCGGAAUUAUUGGGCGUAAAGGGCUGGUAGGCGGCUUGUUGCGCCUGCUGUGAAAACGCGGGGCUUAACUUCGCGCGUGCAGUGGGUACGGGCAGGCUUGAGUGUGGUAGGGGUGACUGGAAUUCCAGGUGUAGCGGUGGAAUGCGCAGAUAUCUGGAGGAACACCGAUGGCGAAGGCAGGUCACUGGGCCAUUACUGACGCUGAGGAGCGAAAGCAUGGGUAGCGAAGAGG